GACGAACCGCCCGAACGUUGUUCGGAUUCACUGGGCUUAAAGGGCGCGUAGGCGGGCGGCCCGGUCGGGGGUGAAAUCCCACAGCUCAACUGUGGAAGUGCCUCCGAUACUGGGAGUCUUGAGGGAGGUAGGGGUGCGUGGAACUUCCGGUGGAGCGGUGAAAUGCGUAGAUAUCGGAAGGAACGCCGGUGGCGAAAGCGACGCACUGGAUCUCUUCUGACGCUGAGUCGCGAACGA
rnacentral:rRNA from 1 species